rnacentral:rRNA from 1 species
GACGAACGCUGGCGGCAGGCCUAAUACAUGCAAGUCGAGCGGAGCGGCGGACGGGUGAGUAAUGCCUAGGAAUCUGCCUGGCCGUGGGGGAUAAGGUCCGGAAACGGGCGCUAAUACCGCAUAAUAUUAGAUGAGCCUACGUUGGCUUAGCUAUUUGGGGGGGGAAAGGCUUAAAAAGGCGACGAUCAGUAACUGGUCUGAGAGGAUGAUCAGUCACAUUGGAACUGAGACACGGUCCAGACUCCUACGGGAGGCAGCAGUGGGGAAUAUUGGACAAUGGGCGAAAGCCUGAUCCAGCCAUGCCGCGUGUGUGAAGAAGGUCUUCGGAUUGUAAAGCACGUUUGGUUGGGAAGCGGUACCAACAUAUUAAGCACCGGCUAACUUCGUGCCAGCAGCCGCGGUAAUUC